rnacentral:rRNA from 1 species
GGGUUGUGAGGUUAAGCGACUAAGCGUACACGGUGGAUGCCCUGGCAGUCAGAGGCGAUGAAGGGCGUGCUAAUCUGCGAUAAGCGCCGGUAAGGUGAUAUGAACCGUUAUAACCGGCGAUACCCGAAUGGGGAAACCCAGUGUGAUUCGUCACACUAUCAUUAACUGAAUCCAUAGGUUAAUGAGGCGAACCGGGGAACUGAAACAUCUAAGUACCCCGAGGAAAAGAAAUCAACCGAGAUUCCCCAGUAGCGGCGAGCGAACGGGAGGAGCCCAGAGCCUGAAUCAGCAUGUGUGUUAGUGGAAGCGUCUGGAAAGGCGCGCGAUACAGGGUGACAGCCCCGUACACAAAAGCGCAUGUGCUGUGAGCUCGAUGAGUAGGGCGGGACACGUGGUAUCCUGUCUGAAUAUGGGGGACCAUCCUCCAAGGCUAAAUACUCCUGACUGACCGAUAGUGAACCAGUACCGUGAGGGAAAGGCGAAAAGAACCCCGGCGAGGGGAGUGAAAAAGAACCUGAAACCGUGUACGUACAAGCAGUGGGAGCACAGGUUUACCUGUGUGACUGCGUACCUUUUGUAUAAUGGGUCAGCGACUUAUAUUCUGUAGCAAGGUUAACCGUAUAGGGGAGCCGCAGGGAAACCGAGUCUUAAUUGGGCGUUAAGUUGCAGGGUAUAGACCCGAAACCCGGUGAUCUAGCCAUGGGCAGGUUGAAGGUUGGGUAACACUAACUGGAGGACCGAACCGACUAAUGUUGAAAAAUUAGCGGAUGACCUGUGGCUGGGGUGAAAGGCCAAUCAAACCGGGAGAUAGCUGGUUCUCCCCGAAAGCUAUUUAGGUAGCGCCUCGUGAAUUCAUCUCCGGGGUAGAGCACUGUUUCGGCUAGGGGCCAUCCCGGCUUACCAACCCGAUGCAAACUGCGAAUACCGGAGAAUGUUAUCACGGGAGACACACGGCGGGUGCUAACGUCCGUCGUGAAGAGGGAAACAACCCAGACCGCCAGCUAAGGUCCCAAAGUCAUGGUUAAGUGGGAAACGAUGUGGGAAGGCCCAGACAGCCAGGAUGUUGGCUUAGAAGCAGCCAUCAUUUAAAGAAAGCGUAAUAGCUCACUGGUCGAGUCGGCCUGCGCGGAAGAUGUAACGGGGCUAAACCAUGCACCGAAGCUGCGGCAGCGACACUGUGUGUUGUUGGGUAGGGAGCGUUCUGUAAGCCUGCGAAGGUGGCCUGUGAGGGUUGCUGGAGGUAUCAGAAGUGCGAAUGCUGACAUAAGUAACGAUAAAGCGGGUGAAAAGCCCGCUCGCCGGAAGACCAAGGGUUCCUGUCCAACGUUAAUCGGGGCAGGGUGAGUCGACCCCUAAGGCGAGGCCGAAAGGCGUAGUCGAUGGGAAACGGGUUAAUAUUCCCGUACUUGGUGUUACUGCGAAGGGGGGACGGAGAAGGCUAUGUUGGCCGGGCGACGGUUGUCCCGGUUUAAGCGUGUAGGUGUGUGUUCCGGUAAAUCCGGUUCACUUUAACACUGAGGCGUGACGACGAGGCACUACGGUGCUGAAGCAACAAAUGCCCUGCUUCCGGAAAAGCCUCUAAGCAUCAGGUAACAUCAAAUCGUACCCCAAACCGACACAGGUGGUCAGGUAGAGAAUACCAAGGCGCUUGAGAGAACUCGGGUGAAGGAACUAGGCAAAAUGGUGCCGUAACUUCGGGAGAAGGCACGCUGACACGUAGGUGAAGUGAUUUACUCAUGGAGCUGAAGUCAGUCGAAGAUACCAGCUGGCUGCAACUGUUUAUUAAAAACACAGCACUGUGCAAACACGAAAGUGGACGUAUACGGUGUGACGCCUGCCCGGUGCCGGAAGGUUAAUUGAUGGGGUCAGCGCAAGCGAAGCUCCUGAUCGAAGCCCCGGUAAACGGCGGCCGUAACUAUAACGGUCCUAAGGUAGCGAAAUUCCUUGUCGGGUAAGUUCCGACCUGCACGAAUGGCGUAAUGAUGGCGGCUGUCUCCACCCGAGACUCAGUGAAAUUGAACUCGCUGUGAAGAUGCAGUGUACCCGCGGCAAGACGGAAAGACCCCGUGAACCUUUACUAUAGCUUGACACUGAACAUUGAGCCUUGAUGUGUAGGAUAGGUGGGAGGCUUUGAAGCGUGGACGCCAGUCUGCGUGGAGCCGACCUUGAAAUACCACCCUUUAAUGUUUGAUGUUCUAACGUGGACCCGUGAUCCGGGUUGCGGACAGUGUCUGGUGGGUAGUUUGACUGGGGCGGUCUCCUCCUAAAGAGUAACGGAGGAGCACGAAGGUUGGCUAAUCUGGUCGGACAUCAGGAGGUUAGUGCAAUGGCAUAAGCCAGCUUGACUGCGAGCGUGACGGCGCGAGCAGGUGCGAAAGCAGGUCAUAGUGAUCCGGUGGUUCUGAAUGGAAGGGCCAUCGCUCAACGGAUAAAAGGUACUCCGGGGAUAACAGGCUGAUACCGCCCAAGAGUUCAUAUCGACGGCGGUGUUUGGCACCUCGAUGUCGGCUCAUCACAUCCGGGCUGAAGUAGGUCCCAAGGGUAUGGCUGUUCGCCAUUUAAAGUGGUACGCGAGCUGGGUUUAGAACGUCGUGAGACAGUUCGGUCCCUAUCUGCCGUGGGCGCUGGAGAACUGAGGGGGGCUGCUCCUAGUACGAGAGGACCGGAGUGGACGCAUCACUGGUGUUCGGGUUGUCAUGCCAAUGGCACUGCCCGGUAGCUAAAUGCGGAAGAGAUAAGUGCUGAAAGCAUCUAAGCACGAAACUUGCCCCGAGAUGAGUUCUCCCUGAGACUUAAAGUCUCCUGAAGGAACGUUGAAGACGACGACGUUGAUAGGCCGGGUGUGUAAGCGCAGCGAUGCGUUGAGCUAACCGGUACUAAUGAACCGUGAGGCUUAACCUUACAACGCCGAAG